CGACUCUCGGCAACGGAUAUCUCGGCUCUCGCAUCGAUGAGAACGCAGCGAAAUGCGAUACUUGGUGUGAAUUGCAGAAUCCCGUGAACCAUCGAGUUUUUGAACGCAAGUUGCGCCCAAAGCCUUUCGGCAGAGGGCACGUCUGCCUGGGUGUCACGCAACAU
rnacentral:rRNA from 1 species